ACGCGUGGAACCUUACCAGGUCUUGACAUCCUCUGACACUCCUAGAGAUAGGACGUUCCCCUUCGGGGGACAGAGUGACAGGUGGUGCAUGGUUGUCGUCAGCUCGUGUCGUGAGAUGUUGGGUUAAGUCCCGCAACGAGCGCAACCCUUGAUCUUAGUUGCCAGCAUUUAGUUGGGCACUCUAAGGUGACUGCCGGUGACAAACCGGAGGAAGGUGGGGAUGACGUCAAAUCAUCAUGCCCCUUAUGACCUGGGCUACACACGUGCUACAAUGGAUGGUACAAAGGGCAGCAAAGCGGCGACGCCGAGCAAAUCCCAUAAAACCAUUCUCAGUUCGGAUUGUAGGCUGCAACUCGCCUACAUGAAGCUGGAAUCGCUAGUAAUCGCGGAUCAGCAUGCCGCGGUGAAUACGUUCCCGGGCCUUGCACUCACCGCCCGU
rnacentral:rRNA from 1 species